AUACGUAGGGAGCGAGCGUUGUCCGGAAUUACUGGGUGUAAAGGGAGCGUAGGCGGGAGUGCAAGUCAGAUGUGAAAUACAUGGGCUCAACCCAUGGACUGCAUUUGAAACUGCAUUUCUUGAGUGAAGUAGAGGUAAGCGGAAUUCCUGGUGUAGCGGUGAAAUGCGUAGAUAUCAGGAGGAACACCGGUGGCGAAGGCGGCUUACUGGGCUUUUACUGACGCUGAGGCUCGAAAGCGUGGGGAGCAAACAGGAUUAGAUACCCUGGUAGUCCACGUUGUAAACGAUGAAUACUAGGUGUGGGGGGACUGACCCCCUCCGUGCCGCAGUUAACACAAUAAGUAUUCCACCUGGGGAGUACGAUCGCAAGAUUGAAACUCAAAGGAAUUGACGGGG
rnacentral:rRNA from 1 species